ensembl:miRNA
GGUAAACCUUGGUGACUAAUUAGAGUCUGGCUGAUAUGGUUUGACACAGAGCUAAAUCAUAUGAAACAGACUCUAAUUAGUCAACAAUUUCUGUU